rnacentral:rRNA from 1 species
UAGGGAAUAUUGGACAAUGGGGGCAACCCUGAUCCAGCCAUGCCGCGUGAGUGAAGAAGGCCCUCGGGUUGUAAAGCUCUUUUGUCCGGAAAGAAAAGCAUUCGGUGAAUACCCGGAUGUUCUGACGGUACCGGAAGAAUAAGCACCGGCUAACUUCGUGCCAGCAGCCGCGGUAAUACGAAGGGUGCAAGCGUUACUCGGAAUUACUGGGCGUAAAGCGUGCGUAGGUGGUUGUUUAAGUCUGAUGUGAAAGCCCUGGGCUCAACCUGGGAAUGGCAUUGGAAACUGGGCAGCUAGGGUGCGGUAGAGGGUAGUGGAAUUCCCGGUGUAACAGUGAAAUGCGUAGAGAUCGGGAGGAACAUCUGUGGCGAAGGCGACUGCCUGGACCAGCACUGACACUGAGGCACGAAAGCGUGGGGAGCAAACAG